AACGAACGCUGGCGGCACGCCUAACACAUGCCAGUCGAACGAGACCUUCGGGUCUAGUGGCGCACGGGUGCGUAACGCGUGGGAACCUGCCCUUAGGUUCGGAAUAACUCCCCGAAAGGGGUGCUAAUACCGGAUAAUGUCUUCGGACCAAAGAUUUAUCGCCUUUGGAUGGGCCCGCGUUGGAUUAGCUAGUUGGUAGGGUAAAAGCCUACCAAGGCGACGAUCCAUAGCUGGUCUGAGAGGAUGAUCAGCCACACUGGGACUGAGACACGGCCCAGACUCCUACGGGAGGCAGCAGUGGGGAAUAUUGGACAAUGGGCGAAAGCCUGAUCCAGCAAUGCCGCGUGAGUGAUGAAGGCCUUAGGGUUGUAAAGCCCUUUUACCCGGGAUGAUAAUGACAGUACCGGGAGAAUAAGCUCCGGCUAACUCCGUG
rnacentral:rRNA from 1 species